rnacentral:tRNA from 1 species
AGCGGGGUGGAGGAGUAGUACCUCGUGGGUCUCAUAAGCCUAAGGCGCUGGUGCAAUUCCAGCCCCCGCUA